UACGAAGGGGGCUAGCGUUGCUCGGAAUCACUGGGCGUAAAGCGUGCGUAGGCGGUUCGUUAAGUCAGCUGUGAAAGCCCCGGGCUCAACCUGGGAAUUGCGGUUGAAACUGGCGAACUAGAAUCUGGCAGAGGGGGGUGGAAUUCCACGUGUAGCAGUGAAAUGCGUAGAGAUGUGGAGGAACACCGAUGGCGAAGGCAGCCCCCUGGGCUGAGAUUGACGCUCAGGCACGAAAGCGUGGGGAGCAAACAGG
rnacentral:rRNA from 1 species